CUUGCACUCGCUUCUUGAAGUCAGCUGAGAUAGGCGCCAGCACACCCGUUCCCCGGGUGAGGAUAAGCGGUUAAGAGAAGGGCUGGAUGAUCACCAUUUGUUAAAGUGGUGCUGAUUGCGAAGUAGACCACCGGACCUCGUAGUCCACCUUUCCGUGGACCUCACCUGGAGCCGAAACCCUUCCCGUCUGCUCAAGAAGGCGUAACAUCUCUACUUGCGACGUGCCAGACUGGGGCGCCGUGUCUCGAGGAGCUUCUGCAGAUGUGGUGGAGAGUGUCCUCAGCAUCAGCAUCACGGUGUGGCACGGCAGCUGCUCGGCUGCAGAGAGGAAGGCAUGACAAAGGGAGGUAAAUGGAUCCGCGAGGCCGCCAAGACCCACAAGCUGGUGGAGCAGGAGCUGGCACACGCCGUCAACGCCAGCGCCAGGGUGCUGACCGAGGCCAAGCUGUCCAGC